GGCAGGAUGGCCGAGCGGUCUAAGGCGCUGCAUUCAAGAAAAUCUUCUUUCCAGGGAAAAUUUGGAUACCUGCAGUUUCGAAAGAAGCGUGGGUUCGAAUCCCACUCCUGUCA
rnacentral:tRNA from 1 species